rnacentral:rRNA from 1 species
UACGGAGGGUGCGAGCGUUGUCCGGAUUUACUGGGCGUAAAGCGCGUGUAGGCGGCUUCUUGAGUUGGGUGUGAAAGCCCGGGGCUCAACCCCGGGACGCCGCCCAAGACUGGGAGGCUUGAGGACGGAAGAGGGGCGUGGAAUUCCAGGUGUAGCGGUGAAAUGCGUAGAGAUCUGGAGGAACACCCGUGGCGAAGGCGGCGCCCUGGUGCGUGACUGACGCUGAGACGCGAAAGCGCGGGGAGCGAACGGG